GGCCCCACCGAGGGGUGUGCAGCCUCCAGCUGUGAACAGCGGGGCGUCCCGUCCGGUACCAACUACGAGGUCCUAGCGGGUAAGAGAAAAUAUGGAAGCCAUCGCUGGAAUAAUUACUUAAUUGCAAACUGAUAAAAACCACAAGAGAAGUGUCGAGUCCUCUCAGAGUGAAAGAGGGAGAGAAGGAGAAACAGAGAAAAGGAGAAUGUGUGUGAGAAAGCAACGCAGUGACUCACACCCCGAUCCACGAACAGAAACUGAAAGAAAAGCAGGAACGGAGUCGCGGAGAAAGAGGGAGCCAGAGAAAGGGCCCUGGUGGGGGGGGUGGGGUAUACAGGGCCCACCCUGUCCUUCUGGGGUGAUGGACGUGUUCUGGGAUCUGAUCCUGGGGACAGGUGCACAAAUGUGUACUAAGGGCCGUGGCAUCGGACGCUGUCAAAGGGUGCCUUUUAUGA